UUUUGCUGUGAGUGAAAGCCGGGUCGCUAGACAAGACUUGGGCUUGGACCUUGGAGGCUUAGGGAUUGGUUUGGGUGUUGGAGUGGGUAUUGGGCUGGGAGGUGGUGGAUCAGGUUCUGGUGCUGGAGCAGGUUCGGGUUCGGGUUCCAGACCUGGGUCUAGCUCAAGUUCCAGUUCAUCCUCUUCUUCGUCAAGCUCUAGUUCUGGGUCCGGAGGCGGUUCUGGUGCCGGGUCAGAAGCCGGUUCGUCUGCUGGUUCUAGGGCCGGGUCAGGAGC
rnacentral:lncRNA from 1 species